rnacentral:rRNA from 1 species
GGAAUAUUGGACAAUGGGCGCAAGCCUGAUCCAGCAAUGCCGCGUGUGUGAAGAAGGCCUGCGGGUUGUAAAGCACUUUUAGCAGGGAAGAAAAGUUUGAGGUUAAUACCCUCGGAAUUUGACGUCACCUGCAGAAGAAGCACCGGCUAACUCCGUGCCAGCAGCCGCGGUACUACGGAGGGUGCAAGCGUUAAUCGGAAUUACUGGGCGUAAAGGGCACGCAGGUGGCUUGGUGAGUCGGAUGUGAAAGCCCUGGGCUUAACCUGGGAACUGCAUUCGAUACUGCCGAGCUAGAGUAUGGGAGAGGAAAGCGGAAUUCCCGGUGUAGCGGUGAAAUGCGUAGAUAUCGGGAGGAACAUCAGUGGCGAAGGCGGCUUUCUGGCCCAAUACUGACACUCAUGUGCGAAAGCGUGGGGAGCA